rnacentral:sRNA from 1 species
AAACAUGGUUGUCCUUAUGUCAGUUAUAAGUCCAGGAAGUGUGUUUUCUUGCUUCAAAGUCACAAAUAGACCUACUGUUGGCCACAUUUUUCCAAGGGUCACAAAAGAGUUCCCAUGUAGAUCCCUCUCUCUUCCUUCCUACCUAGGCACAACUGGAGUGCCCUCUGCUACAACAGUCUCCCCUGGGAGCUCCAACUCAGAGGCCACAACUUCUGUAGGAGAAAGUGGAAAAACAGGAGCUGAAACAAUCACAGGUACUACUGAGGGCAUCUCUGGCAGAACUCUGGAGGCUAAAAGUGCCCACACAGAGGCCACAACUUUCCCAGGAGGCAGUGGAACCACCCAAGCAGGACCACCCGGAGAGGCCACCACUUCCACAGAACGGACUGGUACUUCUGGAACUGGAUUCAAAACUGGCACCUCAGAGGUAGCUCCUGCCACAACAGUUGCCCCAGGAAGUUUCAGCACAGCAGCCACAACUUCUCCUGGAGCAAGUGGAAUGACUGGGGUUGCAACAACUACAA